AUCUGGGCGGCGGAAUUCAGGAUGGCCGGCGGGUCUCGUGCUUGUCCGGCCGUUUGAUAUUUCCGUCGCCGCGUCAGACGUCGCGACCUGUUUGUCGUCGGUCCUUGCUCGGAGGAAUCGCGAUCGAGUUCGUUGCGGAGUGCGCUUCGGUGUGCUACGCGGCGAAGACGCGGCUCUCUGGCUGACGACGGACAGUAAGCAACGGUGUCCGAUGUCGUGUCUCGCACUCGGCGUCGGUACCGGUCUGCGACGAUUUCUUCGGGCCUCUUUCCGACCCGUCUUGAAACACGGACCAAGGAGUCUAACAUGCGCGCGAGUCGCGGGGUUUCGAGCGUACCACGGUGCGCUCGUCACUUACAAAACCCGUACGUUGAAGGCGUAAUGAAAGUGAAUUUGGGAGGAUGGCGUUCCGAGUCCACGUACCGUGAUCGAGUGUCGCGGCCGGACGUCCGCACUCCCGGGGCGUCUCAGUGGCUCGUCGCGGAUGCGGACAGUCGUCUCUCGGGGCGGCUGUCGGUCUGCGCCGGACCGA
rnacentral:rRNA from 1 species